UACGAACUAUGGAAAUAAAACAAAUCAAGACAGAAAUAAGAAAUAAAAGACGAAAAAGAACAAGAUACAGUUAGCAAGAGAGUUAAUUUUGAAUGAUUGUUAUUCAGGUACAGAUGAGUUUGCGCCAUAUACAGCAGGCUUUGAAGUCUUGAGUCCCAUUUCAAGUCUAGGUGAUUCCUGUUCCUCUCUACCACGUUUAGUUGUUCCUCUUGUAGUAAUUCUAGGUAUUUUUUUUAUGUAUCUAAUCGUUAAGUUUUUCUCCCCAUUAUCUAUACGACUUUGCAGCUCUGUUCGUAAUACAGCCAGAUAUUUUGACUGCCAGGGUGUCAAAUCUUGCCUUGGUUUCAUAUCUUGGCGAGGAUAGCGAAGCCGGCGAUGCGAAGCUAUUUGUAAGUUAGGAGCUACCUGCUUUAAUAUUUGUUGUGCAUUAACUUCAUCGGAUUCUGUGUUAUUUUCUGGAACACCCAUUAGCAAAACAUAUUUUUCCCUUUGUUUUCUAUUAGCCAGCUCUAUAAGGAUAUUUUCGGGAGGAGUAGAUUCUAUUUUCUGGAUUUUAAUUUUUAGUUGUUCGUUUUCUCUUCUUAGAACUGCUAUUUCCGAGAUGCAAGCGUCAAUUUUUGUGGACUGAGAAUUUACUAAAUUAUGUAAGUCAGACAUUUGAGUGUUACAUGUAGCAAUAGCGUUACUUAAAUUAGCAAGCUGAGCCAUAAUUGCGUUGAAGUGCAUUGUGCUAGCAUCUGCUUCUGUGGUACAAUUUUGACACUUCCAUAUCAACAAGGUUGCAGCUGAAGAAUUUAAGGGUUGGAAUUGAGCACAAACACCGUGCCAUGUUGUUUUGCACCCAGAACAUUCCAGUUUGCUACAAUCUGUCGGUGUUAUAAUUUUACGGCAUGCCUGACAAUUUAAAUCCAUUAUAAUAAUAUUAACCGUACUAUUAUAGGUACCACUAAUUGCUUAACUUUUUUGUCUAAGGCAAUAUUCAAGUUUCGAUCAAGUAGGUCGUUGAGAUGUAAAUCGUAUUUCUUGUUUAAAAAUUAAGUUUUUCUACUUACAGUUGUAUUUAUAGUAAAAACUGUUCAACUUUUAA
rnacentral:lncRNA from 1 species